GUUACCUAGGGGAGAAUGCCAUGAAACGGAAUGCGCAUUAAAGUCUCCUUGAACCAGACGAUUAUGGCCAGACAUAGCGUAGCCCACUUAUUUCGGGCUUGUAAGAUUGGCCAUUAACAAGGGUGUGAAGUUAAAGUUGUUUUGAACCAGGAAUGGGUGAGAUUGAAACACAAAAUUAAAAUCAUUAUUUCUGCGGGAAUUUUGGGUGGAUUUUUAAAAAAUUUACAUCCAAAGAAAGCUUAAAUUGAGGAAGAAUCUGUUUCAGUUAGUUUCACUUCUAUAUCUUUAUUUGUGCAGCUGUGAAUUGACACACAAUUUGAGAAUCUGUUUCAGUUGGUUUCACUUCUAUAUCUUCAUUUGUGCAGCUGUGGAUUGACACACAAUUUUCGCAAAAAAUCUGAGAGGCGUUUUUCGGGCAUUUCUAGAAAAGAUUAAAAAAACAAAAGCGACUUUCGAAAGAAACCUAAGGGAGCAGAAUUCCCCAAAGUAAACAACUUUUCUGAAAUCGUUAUAGAAAUUUACAUAUAUUGUUUUUAAUUAAUUGUUGGUCAUACGAACCGCAGUUUGGACUUUUCUGGAGUAAGGGGGAGUACUAUUUCACCAUGUAAUCAGCUUUUCGGUAGCUGAAACAUACACCCGCAAAAUAGAGGCCUAUAUUUGUAUAAACUUUGCGGGCCACAUUUUGGAAAUUUCUGGGAUUGAAAAAAAAAGUGGCCCUCAAAUGAAAGUCCCAAGGAAGCAGAAUCCGCCAAUGUAUUGAUGUUGACUGAACUCGUUAUAGAAAUCGAGAUAUUAAAAUUUAUUUGAAUGGGCAUGCAAACAUCAGUUUGGACAUCUCUGGAAGGAAUUCUUUAAAAAUUUUGGUAUGUAUAGUACUGUCCCUACUAUUUCACCAUGUAAUCAGCUUUUCGGUAGCUGAAACAUACAUCCACAAAAUAGAGACCUACAUUUGUAUUAACUUUGCGGGCCACAUUUUGGACAUUUCUGGGAUUAAAAUAAAAAUCCGCCAAUGUAUUGAUGUUGACUGAACUCGUUAUAGAAAUCGAAUAGGCAUGCGAACAUCAGUUUGGACAUCUCUGGAAGGAGUUUUUUAGUAAUUUUGCUUUCAGGUAGCUGAAACAUACACCCCCAAAAUAGAGGCCUACAUUUGUAUAACUUUGAGGAUUCUGAAUUCGUUAUAGAAAUCGAGAUAUUUCAAUUUUGAUGAAUGGGCAUGGGAGCUACCGUUUGAACAUCUCUUUUCCUAAAAAUAUUAUAUAUUUGGAAAGCUAAAGGUAGCACAAAGCUCCAUAUAAUGGAUCAUCAAAAAAAUUUAUUAAAUUGUGGAUAACUGAAAAUAGAAUCUAAACACCAAAAUCCACCACGUGCAGGAAGUCCACCUUUAAAACGCAAAUAAUAAAUUUUAUUUAUGCAAACGCCACACUGGAACACUAACCUUCGACCUAACCACGGCCCUAGUUUCUGGUGUUUAAAGACGCCUAACCACAAACUACAAUUAUUGCUUGGAACGCCAGCCAAUGAAGUGACAAUACUUAGAAGAACAAACGCCAUUCACUCUUUGUGUGGUUGUUUGUGUACUAUGAAAUCAUCAAAGAAAAAAGCGCACCUAAAUAAAAAAAAUAAACUAGAUUCUAAAAAUA
rnacentral:sRNA from 1 species